rnacentral:rRNA from 1 species
UACGAGUGGUGCAAGCGUUAUUCGGAAUCAUUGGGCGUAAAGGGCGCGUAGACGGCGUGUUAAGUUUGUUGUUAAAUCCCUCGGCUCAACCGAGGAUCAGCAGCGAAAACUGAUAUGCUAGAGGGUGGAAGAGAGAAGUGGAAUUCUCGUAGUAGCGGUAAAAUGCGUAGAUCUCGAGAGGAACACCAAUGGCGAAGGCAGCUUCUUGGUCCAUUCCUGACGUUGAGGCGCGAAAGCGUGGGGAGCAAACAGG